CACUGAGCCAAACCGGUUAAGCCAAUGCUCAUUUCCUUUUAUUGUUUUGUUUUGAAAAGCACUCCAGUGGAAUUGCUUUCUUCAGUAAGUGUCUGUAAACCACUGAACCCUUGUAUUUCUCCCCUGUGUUUCCAAGAGUUCUCCAAUGCUAUUUUAGAAUGGCAGCAUUCACUCCAGCACUGGCCGAGGUUGAUGAUGCUAAUUUUGGUGCCCAGGGUAAAGGAGAGAGAGAGCAUGGGCAGUGCCAAAAGGACUUUCUGGUGCCUGGGUUUGGAGCAGUGUGGUGUUACCGGACACACCACAUUUCACCUUUAGAACCUUUAUUUGUGUGCUUGCACAACAGAUGUUUACCCAGAUAUUAAGAUAAGAAAAGUAUGAAGGUCACAUUUCACUGGUGACAAGAGCGCGUCUAUAAAUGUAACUAUAUCACCAUGUGGCGGGAGUCUGUCUUUUAUUCCAUACCAGUUGCUUAGGGGAAGUAAUGGUGAGAGUGGCAUAGGAGCCAGCUGAGGUCCUUCCCAGUAUUUGGCUAUCUUGCCUUCACUCUAGAUGCUCUGGCUAACCUGGCAUGCCCCUUCCAUUUGGUCAGGCCCAUUGGGGUGGUCAAGAAGUGAGGAGGAAGUUCCAGUGUACUCGGUGGCCUCCCCAGGCUCUGGAGUUUUCUGGUGCUCCAUGGACAUUAGUGUCCCCUGCAUUUCCCUGCUAUCUGACCAACCAGGAAGCAUUCAGGCUGCUAAGGCAGCUCUCCUGGCCCCUCAGAAGAGGUUUGCAUGGUGCCGAGGCUACCCCUGUUUUAGGCCUAUUGGGCAGGGUUGUCAUGUCCUCAGAGCACAGAGUCUUCAGGGCGGGAAAGGGGUGUCUUAUGGAUUUGAGUGCUUCUCUUAAAGAUCUUCAAGGAUUAGCUAGACUCACUCAGACCCUGGAUGAAGACAUGGAUCCUUGGUCCAAUUUUCUUCCCAAGGGCAGUCUAUAAGACAGUGGGAAUCCACCUCAUUGACAAUAAGGGACCACACCUCUCCAGCUCUCUCACCCCAUUCACAUUCAUCCAAUGUGCCUCCUGAGCUCCAAAUAUGCAGACCUCCUUUCGCUGCCUCAAAGGCCUGUCUGCCCUGUCUCACAGGACUCGUUCCCACCUCUGUUCUCUCACCCUAGUCCUUCCAUCCUGGAGGCUCCUUUCCUCGAUUUCUACUCAAAUAUCUCCCACUUUCCUAGUAUGAGCCCAUGUCCCCCAGUUCCUACAAACCCUUCUGUAGUAAUUCCCACGGUGGCACCUCCCCCUCCACUUGUUUCUAACACUUGGUUAUGUUUGCCAAAGAGCCUGCCUGAUUAUGUUUCCUUGUUAUCUAAUGACAUUUUAUGUGUUCUUGUCUGUCCAACCAAGAUCGCAUGCUGCUCAAGGGCAAGGAUGUCUAAUUUCCUCAUGUGUCCUGUAAUAUCUUGCAUAUUUUGAAUCCCUAAACUUCUAAUUUUAAAAAUGUAUAGAAUUGUUUUGUUGUUGUCCCUCAGGCUUUUGGAAAUCCUGCCUCUUGGGCUCUGCUGUUUUCAUUUGUGUAGAUUUGAGCUCUUGACUCAUUUUGCUUUAAAAAGAAAGAAAAAGGAAAAGAAAAAAAUCAGGGGGACCGCAGGCAAGUCUUGAUAAAUGAUUUUACAUCAAAGCCAAACAUCAGGCUAAUAUUAUGCCAAUGCUUUGCUUCAAGAAUGCCCAGUACACCAAGGCAAGGAACAGCCCAACAAAGCACUCCAGCUUAUUCUCAAAAGUUAAAAAAGCCAGCAGGAAAGUGUGCCCGGGAGAGUCCCAGCUUUCUGCAAGAAGUCCUCUUCCCAGGGGAGCCCUCCCUGAUUAGCAGCACACUGGUCACCCCUUAUCUAUAUGGUCUUCAGUCUGUAUUUUAUUAUUUGUCUGAUGCUUUUGCAACUUUUUUGGCAUCAUCACUGUGUGUAAACAUUUGUAGAUUACCUACCAAAUUCAGGUGCCAUGCAAUGAGGUUAUAAAGAGGCAUUAGAUGGACCCACUGCCCUCACGAGGCUUAUAGUCUAGUUGGAGAGUCAAGAAGUUCAUAAGAUUCUUUUCUUAAAACAUUGCAAGAUGGUUUUGUUAACAGAGGCCCUAGGCCCAUCUUUAAGAUGUUGCUAUCUUGUUAGUCAAAACUAUCUCAGAUAAAACAUUAAGCAAAUGGAAGAUGAUUGGCAGUAAUUAAGUGAGAGUGAAUAAGGGUAAAUAGAGCUUCUGUAUAGAUCAGCAUAGAUUAGAGGGAGGUGUAAUGGAGGAGCAAUAAGAUCUAGGUCUUGAAGAUUAGGUGGAAUUCUGAUAGGCACAUGGUUUUGGGGCAUUCCAGUUGGGGUGAACGGCUUGAGUCAAGUGAGGAGGCAGAAAUACACAGGGUGUGCAGGUGAGGACUGUUGAGCUGCUCCUUCCAGAGUCUAAUUUGGAGCUCUGUUAAUGGAUGGGCAAGGAGAACCAGGCCUGGGCUGGUGCUGGGAAGUUUAGGGACAGUCCUCUCUGAGUCAUGAUGUGAUGGAAUCUUUGGGCAGCCUUGGGGCCAUGGGAGCAGUGCAUUCCUCUCUUAGGAAUUAGUAGAACCAGAGGGAGAGAUCUCAUUCUCUUUCUCACUCCAGAUUCCAGGAUUUUUAAUCCGAUUACUGCAGAGAGAUAGGACAAUCUCUUCUACAUUCCCCUUUUUGUAGGGAGGAGGCCAAUUCAAAACAGACCACCCCUUUGUCAUCUUUACCAAUAACUGUCUGUUGCAUGCCCUGUAGGGAGCACUGCAGCCAAGCUGUUCCCUGACCUUCUCCUUUCCUGCGAUGUGUCACACCGUUCCUUAAAGCCUGAGCUCUGAUGUUCUUGGCCGGAUGCUGCCAGAAGAGAAAGAAAAAGGGGCCAUAUUUCUGGAGUCACCUGGGGAGGGCAGCUGGGGCUUUUUCCUCUUCCAAUAGGUCUAACCUUUCCCCUAGAGGUAUUUAGAAGCUCUUAAGGUCAUGGCUGGACACUUGCAAGCAGGGCCUUGGCCAGAGAUCCCAAAUCACUGGAGAAGAUCCCACACCAGCAAAGGCCAAGCAAGUCACUUGAGUGUACCCUGUCCAGUGGUACUUUGAGGGAGGCUGCAGCUCCAAAUGCUUGACUUGGAAUUUAAUCUCAUCAUGACAACUUCAUGUCUCAUCUCAUUCCUUUUCUAUCCCCUCCAUAAUCAGUAAAUGAGAGUAGAACCGGAAGCUGAUGCCCAGCCCAGGCAGAACUCCUUUAUUCAGUGGCAGACUUGUAACCAUUUAAAUACUUACUCUGUGCAGGAUGCUGAACAUUGGAUCUGAAUCCUGGAGGGACCUCUGGAGCCAGCUGGAAGGAGCCCUCCUCCUCCGAACUUCAGGGGGCAGCCGAGCCCAGACAUAGGGCUGUCUGGGGCCUUGGUCAUUCCCCCGGGAGCUGCUUCAGGGUCAUCCUAAGAGACCCAUAGAUUAGAAACUAGUGUUCACUUGAAUCUAGCCAAAGUUAGGCAUUUGAGUCUAGCAUCUACCUUCCUACAGCUGCAGACAAACCUCAGGAAGGCAAAGGAUGAUGUCCUAACUAUGCUGAUCUGUGACUAUACUGUUAGAGCAUAAAAACCCAUAAAUUUACCAUGUUUUGUUUUAUUUUUCUUUUCUCUUCUUUUACAAAAUAAAGGUUCCUUUUGAAACUUUCAACUUUGUUUCUUCUGAACUCCUAGCAAACUGUUUUUCCUACCUGGAUCAGAGAGGUGAUGGGACCUGGGCAAGCUGCUGGCUGGCAUCGGGCCUUGCAAGUCUGAGAUGACUGUGAAUGUUCAUUCCUUCUUUUCUGAGCUAUUCAUUUGAGCACAUUAAAACAUUUUCCAUAUUCAGAUCAACAUAGCCCUAUGAUCCUGGGCUGCCCGUAGCUCCUUCAAUGGAUCCAAAUGUUAUGAAGGUAAUGAUGACAGCUUAACUCUCCUGAGUUAGAUCUUCCGGGCCAAGGCAGAGUACAUGUUUAUUUUGGAAAAAGACAAACUUUCACCCACUUGAAUUCCUCCAAAAUUAGUGUCAGGGGCUGACCACAAGAGUUCCAUAUUUCUUAGCUUUUGUUUUACCAAACAGAUUAUAAAUGCUCCCGUGACACCUUCUUUUGAGUCCCUGGCAAAGCCUGCCUGCACGUGAGGUUCAGAGCAACUCUCAAGAGGGUCUAGGAAGCUGUUUGGUAAAACAAAGGCUAAGAAAUAUGGAACUCUUGUGUAACCUAGAACAGGUAAUGCAACCUCUCCGCAUCCUCCCCAUUCCUAAUUGGGGGUUAGACACACUAACUGCUUUCUAAGAGGACUAUUAUGAGGUAGAAAUGAGCUAGAGUUUCAAUAAAACCAUGCAUUUAAAAAGUAUAUUACACUUUUAAAAUCUUUUUGCAACCAUUAUCUUACUAGAAAGACCUUUGAAAAGUUUAAAGUGCAGACCAUUAAGGCAUCAUUAUUAAUAAGCAAGCAAUAUAAUCAUUUGGCACAUCAUUACCUGUUGGAGUGGUUUGUCUGCAAUUGGAAGUCUUAGGGGAAUCUAAAAGGCGAUGCUUGUUCCCAGGCCUUUAAGUCCCAAUCCCCCCAGUCCCGCCCCCUGGCUGGGCUUUUCAGGAUUGUGGGUUCUUUCCAAUAGUGAUUUCAGGGUAUGAGCUAUAUUUCUGCCACACUCUGAGAUUCCAGGAAACCUAACAACACCAAGAGACUGAGGAGCCCUCCAGGACUCCUGAAAAGUAAUCUGACCUUGGCUGUGCCCCUUCCAUGCCUGGCCGUUCUCCCUCACCUGUGAGGAUAGAGGGUCCAUACCAGCUGCCAUCCUGUAUGAAUGAGAAUUUGCCCUUAGACUUAGCACCCCCAAAUCUGUAGGCUGAAAGGCUGUAUCCACAGUAUAUCUGCCAGGUUCCACUUGUUGCUUUCAUCUUAUAAGCAAGACAUUAUUGUGGGCUCCCUACAUGCCUGACCCAAGGUCUUUAAAAGCUCAGACAGCUUAUCGGUGGGUCUAGAGAUGAGGGGCAUGCAUGCCUAGAAGACACCUGGGCCUGCGGGAGUUACUGGGAGUGGAACGAGGCUUUGGUUGUGAAGGGCCUGGCUCGGCCACGUAGUGAUCUGAGACUUGGCAGGUCAACUCUAGCCUCAGAUCCAUCAUCUUUAGCACCCCUGAUACCUCGUCCUUAACCUUGCCCUUCCCUCAGCCCUACCCUGCAUCAGGCCAGCUGACUUGUGCCUUAGGUCUCAGUUUAAAUAUAAUCUUCUCAGGAAAGCCUUUCUAGGCCUCCCUCAGCUAACCUCCAUCUCUAUACUAUUUUCUUCUUCUUCUUAAUAACACUCCCCAAAUGCUGUAA